rnacentral:rRNA from 1 species
AUUGAACGCUGGCGGCAGGCCUAACACAUGCAAGUCGAGCGGCAGCGGGAAAGUAGCUUGCUACUUUUGCCGGCGAGCGGCGGACGGGUGAGUAAUGCCUGGGAAAUUGCCCAGUCGAGGGGGAUAACAGUUGGAAACGACUGCUAAUACCGCAUACGCCCUACGGGGGGAAGCAGGGGACCUUCGGGCCUUGCGCGAUUGGAUAUGCCCAGGUGGGAUUAGCUAGUUGGUGAGGUAAUGGCUCACCAAGGAGACGAUCCCUAGACGGUCUGAGAGGAUGAGCAGCCACACGGGAACGGAGACACGGUCCGGACUCCUACGGGAGGAAGCAGUGGGGAAUAUUGGACAAUGGGGGAAACCCUGAUGCAGCCAUGCCGCGUGUGUGAAGAAGGCCUUCGGGUUGUAAAGCACUUUCAGCGAGGAGGAAAGGUUGAUGCCUAAUACGUAUCAACUGUGACGUUACUCGCAGAAGAAGCACCGGCUAACUCCGUGCCAGCAGCCGCAGUAA